CCUACGGGAGGCUGCAGUGGGGAAUAUUGGACAAUGGGGGGAACCCUGAUCCAGCCAUGCCGCGUGUGUGAAGAAGGCCCUCGGGUUGUAAAGCACUUUCAGUGAGGAAGAACGCCUGGUGGUUAAUACCCAUCAGGAAAGACAUCACUCACAGAAGAAGCACCGGCUAACUCCGUGCCAGCAGCCGCGGUAAUACGGAGGGUGCGAGCGUUAAUCGGAAUUACUGGGCGUAAAGCGCGCGUAGGUGGCUUGAUAAGCCGGUUGUGAAAGCCCCGGGCUCAACCUGGGAACGGCAUCCGGAACUGUCAAGCUAGAGUGAAGGAGAGGAAGGUAGAAUUCCCGGUGUAGCGGUGAAAUGCGUAGAGAUCGGGAGGAAUACCAGUGGCGAAGGCGGCCUUCUGGACUGACACUGACACUGAGGUGCGAAAGCGUGGGUAGCAAACAGGAUUAGAUACCCCAGUAGUC
rnacentral:rRNA from 1 species